GCCAGCAUGGUGUAAUGGUUUCCGUGUCAGACUACAGUUCUGGAGACUAGGGUUUGAAUCCCCACUCAGCCA